GCUUAAAGAUCUUGGUUAGAAAAAGAGUGAAAGGAGGGAUGAAGCAGAGAAUAAGAACAUAAAGAUCGAAUGAGGAGCAGAGAAGAGAGAGGAAAUGGAGUAGAGAUAGGAAAUAGGAGGGAGGGGAGUGGAGUAGAGGAGAAAGAGAGAGAGGUCGGCUAGAUUGGAGGUGGUGUAAAAAAUAGAAAGAGAGAGGGGAGAGAGAUGCAGAUCUCUAACAA
rnacentral:lncRNA from 1 species